GGUUUGGCCGGUUAAAUAUCUGUUAUCAGCUGAUUAAGCAUAAUCGGAGUUUAAUCACAGACUGUACAACUGGCCCUUAGAAGCAUAGACUUAUGGAAAUAGACGGAACAUUAGGUAUGAUAACGCGUGCAAUUGUCCUCGUGAUCGGGCACUAUUAAAGCCAUGUAAUUGGCUGUCCUCGGAGCAGCGGACAUUUCUCUCACUCUUAUGAUAAAACUCGUGCUAUCUCUCUUAAUCCGUUUGACACGACCACGCCUCCCAGUCCUCGGGCCUAAAUGUUCAGUCUAUCUCUUUAAGUCUAUGCUUAGAAGAGAACACUUUUCUUAUCAUUGUUUCGUGUUCUAUUAUUAAUUUAUUUAUAUAAGUCAAUGGGUAAACACUCUUUUUAGUGAAUGUGAUGAAAUAUAACAUAUAAUAUAAAUUGUUAAGUAAAAAUUAUUAGACAUUUGGUAUAGCCCGGUGUAGGUAGAGAAGGGAGGAAAUAAGACCACAAUAUAUUAUAUAUUACUAUGGGAUCUUUUUUAUUCAUUAAAAAUCUAUGGAAUUCUUUAUGAAGACUUAAUAAAAUGAACACAGUAUUUUGUGAUUUUCAGUUCAAUCGGUUGUCUGUUGUUCAUUUUUAAGCCUAUUGGUCUGAGUUAUGCCAGCACAUGAACAACAUUCUUGCAGAUUUAGUUUAAGAAGACAAAUACCGAAACGUUGAAAUUGUUAAAUGUUUAAGUGAUGAUUUUGCUGAAAUAUCAUAAAAAUAUAAUGUAUUUGUUGUACCAAAAUAUAUUAUUUCGUAAUGGUGUUCAAGUUGAUGUAUUAGAUGCUAACUGUAGGUGACAAAACAUCGAAAGAUAGAAGACAAAAAUUCGAGACUGAAGACAUUGGUAAAUUCUGCUCCCGUCUUGCUUUUUAUGAAAGGAACAAAGUCUGAGCCAAAAUGUAAGUUCAGUACAUCCCGUAUAAAUUUACUUAAAGAAAUUGGUGCUAAAUUUUGGACAUAAGAUAUAAUAAAAGAUCAAGUUGUUCGAGAAAAUUUAAAACAUAUUCCAACUGUCCGACAUAUUCAUUUCACAGGUAAAUUAAUUGAAGUUUUCUAUACUAAAUAAUGUUAUAUUAUCUUACAAAAUAAUAAAUAUGUGCUUUAUAUCAAGGAUCAAUUAAUUGGAGGUUUAGAUAUUGUGAAAGAAUUGAUUGAGAAUGGUGAGUUAUUUGAUCUUUUAAAACUAUAAAACGUUAAAGUUCUAACCUUGACAACAGGUAAAUUACUUUUCUAUUAUAAUUUUUGUAAAACAUAUCAAUGUUUUUCAUUUUUAGUUAAAAAAUAUUCGGAUUAAGGUUAUUUUGAUUUUAUGAUGUGUAACAUCUAUUGGCGCUCCUUGAGGGGGUUAGACCAACUUGUAUGCAGUGACUACUAACUGCAUUAUGUAAAAUAAAUAAUAAUAAAACAUUUGUAACCAAUGCCAAUCAUUUAAUUAUAAAAAAAAUUAUAUAAUAAUAACAUAAGUAAUAUUUUGUAAUUUUGCAACAAAUGAUUCAAUCCUUAUGACAACAUUCCUUGAACAAAAAUGUUAUCAUAAAUAUUUUUUUUUGUCUUGUAUUUUUAAAAUGUAUUAUUAGUAACUACCUAUCGAGGUUGUGGAUUCAAAAUUAAAAUUAUAAAAACUUUGAACCUUGAACAUGUGUCAGUUCUAUACAAUUAUGUUAAAUUACGAAAAAUAAUAAGUCACAUAAGUCUUAUGAAAACUAUGAUGAAUAAAAUAUAAGAUGACUUUUUGAAACCAAGUUAAUUUAGAUUUAUAAUGUAAUAGUUAUGUAAAUAAUUAGUAUGAAAUAGAAAUAAGUAAUAACCAUGACUAAAUAGAUAAAAACUUUUGAUAUUUGAUAAUAUGGAUAGCCAAUGAGAAGCCGAGAACUGAGUUAUGGCUGGGUCUGAAGGGGAAUGUGCGUAUCAGUAAAGAUGUGAUCAUACCUAUCUAUUUAGUCAUGGUAAUAACCAUAUAGGUAUGACUGGUGUCUAGUAGCAUAAACAGUUUUUUUUGUUUUCUCAAAAUUACCUUUUAUUGACUUGCGUCGUAUCUCAAAUAGGUGGUUCAAAUAAUUCAUAUCUAAUUUAAAGUUUUGAAAUAUUUUUUUUCAUUUGUUGAUUGUGAAGAGCAUAUUAUACAUAUUUAAUAAAAAAUAUUGUACUCAUUUUCAUUACAAUGAGUAUGCAUUUUAUUGUAAAACAACUUAACAACUACAAUGAAACUUUAAGAAAUAAGGAAAAAGCUAACUGCAGUAGAAAAUGUUAAAACCUUAAUUUAUGCAUUAAGUAUAUACCUACUACACUUUAUUUAUCAUUAGUCUCAUGUAUAAUUCCCUCUAUUUCACCAAGCCGUUAUUCGCUAAUGCAUUUUUUUAAUCAUAUGGUUUUUUUUUACUCUGAAUUUAAUGGAGCAAUUAAAAUAUUAGCUUUUAGUGUUUGUUAAAACUGAAGAAAAAAGCUUUUAGAUUUUGAGCAGAGCUAUAAUUUUUUUUUUGGUUGUGUACACGAUGAGUAGUUGAAGUAAUGCUUCGAUUUUUCAAUUUCAAUAUCUAUUCCAAUAUGUGAGAGUGAAUCUAGUUGGUGCAUUCUGGAGA